UACGGAGGGUGCAAGCGUUAUCCGGAUUUACUGGGUUUAAAGGGUGCGUAGGCGGACAGGUAAGUCAGUGGUGAAAUCUCCGGGCUUAACCCGGAAACUGCCGUUGAUACUAUUUGUCUUGAAUAUUGUGGAGGUAAGCGGAAUAUGUCAUGUAGCGGUGAAAUGCUUAGAUAUGACAUAGAACACCAAUUGCGAAGGCAGCUUACUACACAACGAUUGACGCUGAGGCACGAAAGCGUGGGGAUCAAACAGG
rnacentral:rRNA from 1 species